rnacentral:lncRNA from 1 species
GAGGGUGAGACUUGUUCCUAGGACUAGAUAGAUGGAGACUUGGAAUUAGUCUUUGCCACAAUUUAGGCCUAAAUUUGACACAUUAACUUGGCAUGCCCUGGGAUGUCGAGUGACUUUCCUUAUUAGAUCAAGGUUGGUUGAAAACUUUAAGAGAUUUGAUCACAUUCUUGUAAUAUCUAGGUAAGAAUUCCAAUCUGCUUCAGUUUAAAUAUUUGUGAUUCAUUUUCAGCCUAAUUAGGGUUUAGGUUUUCUUUAUGACAUCGGCAUCCAACAAGGCAUAAAUUUUGGGCAUAGAUUUGGACUAGUUGAGAUAAGCUUUUGUUGGACAUCUAUUUGACCUACUUUCUCGUAUACUUGUAACCUUCAUAUAUUUUUACUGUGCAUUGAUUUUAGUUCUAAGAUCAAACUCAACAUUGACCUAGUUAAGAUAGCCCCUCUCAAUUUUUU